rnacentral:rRNA from 1 species
AGUGAACGCUGGCGGUAGGCCUAACACAUGCCAGUCGAACGGACGCACAGUAAGCGUUUGCUCUUAAGGGUGGCGAGUGGCGGACGGGUAAGGCAUACAUCAGCAUCUUCUUUUUCGUGGGGGAUAUCGUGGGGCCACUUCCGAUACUACCGAAUACGAUCUACGGGUGAAAGCAGGGGUUCUUCAGACUUUGCGUGUUAGUUUGAGACGGAGCCGGAUUAGCUAGUUGGCGAGGUAAGGGCCCACCAAGGCGACGAUGCGUAGCUGAUCUGAGAGGAUGAUCAGCCACACUGGAACUGAGACACGGUCCAGACUCCUACGGGAGGCAGCAGUAGGGAAUAUUGCGCAAUGGGCGCAAGCCUGAUGCAGCCAUGCCGCGUGAGUGAAGAAGGUCUUCGGGUUGUAAAGCCCUGUUGUUGGGAAAGAAAAGCAGCAUAUGUAUACCUCGCUGUUCUGACGGUACCCAAAGAGAAAGCACCGGCUAACUUCGUG